GAUGAACGCUGGCGGCGUGCCUAAUACAUGCAAGUCGAGCGAACAGAUGAGGAGCUUGCUCCUCUGACGUUAGCGGCGGACGGGUGAGUAACACGUGGAUAACCUACCUAUAAGACUGGGAUAACUUCGGGAAACCGGAGCUAAUACCGGAUAAUCUCUUGAACCGCAUUGUGCAAUAGUGAAUGACGGUUUUUCUGUCUCUUAUAGAUGGAUCCCCGCCGCAUUAGCUGGUUGGUAAGGUAACGGGUUACCAAGGCUACGAUGCGUAGCCGACCUGUGAGAGUGAUCGGCCGCACUGGAAGUGGGCCACGGUCCAGACUCCUACGGGAGGCAGCAGAAGGGUAUCUUCCGCAGUGGUCGAGAGCCUGACGGAGCGGCGCGACGUGAGUGGUGGCAGUCUUCGGAGCGUGAUGCUGGGCUACGAGGGGAGAACCAAUGUGUAAGUAACCGUAGAGGGCUUGACGGUACCUAGUCAGAAAGCAACGGCUAACUACGUG
rnacentral:rRNA from 1 species